GUGAGGUAACGGCUCACCAAGGCGAUGACGGGUAGCUGGUUUCAGCGGAUGGCCAGCCACACGGGGACUGAGACACGGCCCCGACUCCUACGGGAGGCAGCAGUGGGGAAUUUUGGACAAUGGGCGAAAGCCUGAUCCAGCGACGCCGCGUGCGGGAGGAAGCCCUUCGGGGUGUAAACCGCUGUCAGGGGGGAAGAACCCGGUUCGGGCGAAGAGUCCGGAUCGCUGACGGUACCCCCAGAGGAAGCGCCGGCUAACUCCGUGCCAGCAGCCGCGGUAAUACGGAGGGCGCGAGCGUUGUCCGGAAUUACUGGGCGUAAAGGGGGCGCAGGCGGCCCGGUCAGUCCUAUGUGAAAGCCCACGGCUCAACCGUGGAAUGCCAUGGGAUACUGCCGGGCUAGAGACGGGUAGAGGCGAGCGGAAUUCCCGGUGUAGCGGUGGAAUGCGUAGAUAUCGGGAAGAACACCAGUGGCGAAGGCGGCUCGCUGGGCCCGUUCUGACGCUCAGGCCCGAAAGCGUGGGGAGCAAACAGGAUUAGAUACCCUGGUAGUCCACGCCGUAAACGUUGGGCACUAGGUGCUGGGAGGUGUGACCCUUUCGGUGCCGCAGCUAACGCGUUAAGUG
rnacentral:rRNA from 1 species